CGCUGUAGCUCAGUUGGUAGAGCAAUGGACUGAAAAUCCAUCUGUCGUUGGUUCGAUUCCAACCGGUGG
rnacentral:tRNA from 1 species